rnacentral:rRNA from 1 species
GAACGCCUGUAGCAAUACAGGAGUGGCAGACGGGAGAGUAACACGUGGGAACGUGCCCUUCAGUUCGGAACAACCCAGGGAAACUUGGGCUAAUACCGGAUACGUCCGUAAGGAGAAAGAUUUAUCGCUGAAGGAUCGGCCCGCGUCUGAUUAGCUUGUUGGUGAGGUAACGGCUCACCAAGGCGACGAUCAGUAGCUGGUCUGAGAGGAUGAUCAGCCUCACUGGGACUGAGACACGGCCCAAACUCCUACGGGAGGCAGCAGUGGGGAAUAUUGGACAAUGGGCGCAAGCCUGAUCCAGCCAUGCCGCGUGAGUGAUGAAGGCCCUAGGGUUGUAAAGCUCUUUUGUGCGGGAAGAUAAUGACGGUACCGCAAGAAUAAGCCCCGGCUAACUUCGUG